rnacentral:ncRNA from 1 species
CGUCUUCAGGGCGGGGUGCAAUUCCCCACCGGCGGUAUAGCCCGCGAGCUUCAGGCAUAUACGUUAGUAUUUGCAUUAGGCUGAUUCGGUGAAAUUCCGAAGCCGACGGUACAGUCCGGAUGAAAGAAGAUG